UGGGGAAUUUUGCGCAAUGGACGAAAGUCUGACGCAGCAACGCCGCGUGAAGGAUGAAGGUCUUAGGAUUGUAAACUUCUGUUAAUCUGGAAGAAAUGUUUAUAGUUAAUAGCUAUAGAAGAUGACGUUACAGGUUGAGAAAGCUCCGGCUAACCUCGUGCCAGCAGCCGCGGUAAUACGAAGGGAGCGAGCGUUAUUCGGAAUUAUUGGGCGUAAAGGGCGUGUAGGUGGCCUUAUAAGUUUGUUGUUUAAUUUCCCGGCCUAACUGGGAGCAAGCAAUAAAUACUGUAAAGCUAGAGUAUGGUAGAGAGAGAUGGAAUUUUCGGAGUAGCGGUCAAAUGCGUAGAUCUCGAAAGGAACGCCAAUGGCGAAGGCAGUCUCUUGGGCCAUUACUGACACUAAGGCGCGAAAGCGUGGGGAGCAAACAGG
rnacentral:rRNA from 1 species